CCUACGGGUGGCAGCAGUGAGGAAUAUUGGUCAAUGGGCGUAAGCCUGAACCAGCCAAGUCGCGUGAGGGAUGAAGGUUCUAUGGAUCGUAAACCUCUUUUAUAAGGGAAUAAAGUGUGGGACGUGUCCUGUUUUGUAUGUACCUUAUGAAUAAGGAUCGGCUAACUCCGUGCCAGCAGCCGCGGUAAUACUGAGGAGCCGAGCGUUAUCCGGAUUUAUUGGGUUUAAAGGGUGCGUAGGCGGCCUUUUAAGUCAGCGGUGAAAGUCUGUGGCUCAACCAUAGAAUUGCCGUUGAAACUGGGAGGCUUGAGUAUGUUUGAGGCAGGCGGAAUGCGUGGGGUAGCGGUGAAAUGCUUAGAUAUCACGCAGAACCCCGAUUGCGAAGGAAGCCUGCCAAGCCAUGACUGACGCUGAUGCACGAAAGCGUGGGGAUCAAACAGGAUUAGAUACCCCGGUAGUC
rnacentral:rRNA from 1 species